rnacentral:rRNA from 1 species
GACGAACGCUGGCGGCGUGCUUAACACAUGCAAGUCGAACGGAAAGGCCCUGCUUUUGUGGGGUGCUCGAGUGGCGAACGGGUGAGUAACACGUGAGUAACCUGCCCUUGACUUUGGGAUAACUUCAGGAAACUGGGGCUAAUACCGGAUAGGAGCUCCUGCUGCAUGGUGGGGGUUGGAAAGUUUCGGCGGUUGGGGAUGGACUCGCGGCUUAUCAGCUUGUUGGUGGGGUAGUGGCUUACCAAGGCAUUGACGGGUAGCCGGCCUGAGAGGGUGACCGGCCACAUUGGGACUGAGAUACGGCCCAGACUCCUACGGUAGGCAGCAGUGGGGAAUAUUGCACAAUGGGCGGAAGCCUGAUGCAGCAACGCCGCGUGCGGGAUGACGGCCUGCGGGUUGUAAACCGCUUUCGCCUGUGACGAAGCGUGAGUGACGGUAAUGGGUAAAGAAGCACCGGCUAACUACGUG